rnacentral:rRNA from 1 species
UACGUAGGUGGCAAGCGUUGUCCGGAAUUACUGGGUGUAAAGGGCGUGUAGGCGGGGCUGCAAGUCAGAGGUGAAAUUCCCAGGCCCAACCUGGGGGCUGCAUCUGAAACUGUGGAUCUUGAGUGCUGGAGAGGAAAGCGGAAUUCCUAGUGUAGCGGUGAAAUGCGUAGAUAUUAGGAGGAACACCAGUGGCGAAGGCGGCUUACUGGACAGUUACUGACGCUGAGGCGCGAAAGCGUGGGGAGCAAACAGG